rnacentral:rRNA from 1 species
GACGAACGCUGGCGGCGUGCCUAACACAUGCAAGUCGAACGGAACUGUUUUGAAAGAUUUCUUCGGAAUGAAUUUGAUUUAGUUUAGUGGCGGACGGGUGAGUAACGCGUGAGUAACCUGCCUUCAAGAGGGGAAUAACAUUCUGAAAAGAAUGCUAAUACCGCAUGACAUAUCGGAACCACAUGGUUUUGAUAUCAAAGAUUUUAUCGCUUGAAGAUGGACUCGCGUCCGAUUAGUUAGUGGGUGAGGUAACGGCUCACCAAGACCGCGAUCGGUAGCCGGACUGGGAGGUUGCACGGCCACAUUGGGACUGAGACACGGCCCAGACUCCUACGGGAGGCAGCAGUGGGGGAUAUUGCGCAAUGGGGGCAACCCUGACGCAGCAACGCCGCGUGAAGGAUGAAGGUUUUCGGAUUGUAAACUUCUUUUAUUAAGGACGAAAAAUGACGGUACUUAAUGAAUAAGCUCCGGCUAACUACGUG